rnacentral:tRNA from 1 species
UUAAUUGAAACCAAAACUAAGAGGUAAAUCACUGUUAAUGAUUAAAUUGAGAUAUUUCUCCAAUUAAA